UCAAGCUCCUGGAGACUUGGUUGGUUGGUUGGCUGGUUGGUUGGUUAGUUUGAGAAUGGGAGUCCUGGUAGUUGGUCUUCUAUGGCGAUUGGGUGUCUGCACCAAGCUUGGCAUCAAUAUGGUGCUGGAGAGGAAGCUCAACAGGACCAAGUUGUCUAAGGAUGGUCAACUUGUCUAAGGAUGGUCAAUUCAGCACAGGGUGGAAACACAGCAGGCAAAAAACCCCAUGUUGAGCAGUAGUGGGAUUGUGCCUGUAAAUAGUUGUUGGCUGGCAGCCUGUUCAAUACAACUGAACAUCUGUAU
rnacentral:SRP_RNA from 1 species